UGCCUGAUAACGGAGACACGGAGGAAGAGGAGGGAGGUUUUGAGAUUCGAGAAUGGCUAUACCAUCUUCACUGUGUUUUCUUCCUCAUCACACCACAAAUUCUUUCUUAGGCUCAGUUCGAGGGCUUUCCACUCCUAUUCCAAGACCACCACCAAUCAAGCCGUCACAAUCUCCGUCCCUUUUGGUGGUGGAAGCCAAAGUUAAAACCAGAAGGGAAGAUCGAACUGCCCGCCAUAUCCGCAUCAGAAAGAAGGUUGAAGGUACCACAGAUAGGCCAAGACUGGCUGUCUUCCGGUCUAAUAAGCAUCUCUAUGUGCAAGUGAUUGAUGACAGUAAGAUGCACACUCUAGCUUCAGCUUCAACAGUGCAGAAACCCGUCUCUGAUGAAUUUGACUACAGCUCUGGUCCCACCGCUGAAGUGGCAAAGAAAGUUGGCGAAGUAAUUGCAAAGUCCUGCUUGGAGAAAGGGAUUACAAAGGUGGCCUUUGACCGGGGUGGAUACCCUUACCAUGGACGUAUUCAGGCACUUGCAGAUGCAGCUCGGGAGCAUGGCCUUCAGUUCUAGGAUAUGUAUGCAUGGGUAGGCUAGUUACUUGUUCUGUUGAGCAUCAUUUCAUUUUUUUUUCCUUCUCUUCUAACAAGGAUGGAAGGAUAACAUGCAAACUGCAGUUGCUCUGAACAUAUGAAAUCAAAAGCUUUUGGUUCUGUUUUGUCCUGCAAAUUUGAGGAAAAAUAAAAAGAUUUGAACUUGAACUCUGUAA